GACGAACGCUGGCGGCGUGCCUAAUACAUGCAAGUAGAACGCUGAAGGAGGAUCUUGCUCUUCUGGAUGAGUUGCGAACGGGUGAGUAACGCGUAGGUAACCUGCCUGGUAGCGGGGGAUAACUAUUGGAAACGAUAGCUAAUACCGCAUAAGAGUAGAUGUUGCAUGACAUUUACUUGAACGGUGCACUUGCAUCGCUACCAGCUGGACCUGCGUUGUAUUAGCUUGUUGGGGGGGUAACGGCUUACCAAGGCGACGAUACAUAGCCGAACGGAGAAGGUGAUCAGCCACCCUGGGACUGAGACACGGCCCAGAGUCCCUCGGGAAGGAGCAGGAGGGAAACUUCGGGCAUGGACGGAAGUCUGACCGCAAAACGCCGCGUGAGUGAAGAAGGUUUUCGGAUCGUAAAGGUCUGUUGUAAGAGAAGAACGAGUGUGAGAGUGGAAAGUUCACAAUGUGACGGUACCUGAAGAGAAAGCGACGGCUAACUACGUG
rnacentral:rRNA from 1 species